AAAGAGAAGCAUUUUGUUCAAAAUUAGCAACAAUACUGACCGAACUAACCUCCCAGCACCUGAAAGUUGAACAUCGAGAAAGUCUAAAACCUGAGCCUCCAGAAAUUGUGAAAGAACGUCGUAAAUCUACACUAUCAACUCAAAGUGAAAUUAUAUCCGAGCCUGAUCCAAACAGUGACACAUUUUAUUCUACUG